CAGUCGCCGCGGUAAUACGUAGGGUGCAAGCGUUAAUCGGAAUUACUGGGCGUAAAGCGUGCGCAGGCGGUUUGUUAAGACAGAUGUGAAAUCCCCGGGCUUAACCUGGGAACCGCAUUUGUGACUGGCAAGCUAGAGUAUGGCAGAGGGGGGUGGAAUUCCGCGUGUAGCAGUGAAAUGCGUAGAUAUGCGGAGGAACACCGAUGGCGAAGGCAGCCCCCUGGGCCAAUACUGACGCUCAUGCACGAAAGCGUGGGGAGCAAACAGGAUUAGAUACCCGGGUAGUCCCUGUCUCUUAUAC
rnacentral:rRNA from 1 species